GGGCCCGCACAAGCGGUGGAGUAUGUGGUUUAAUUCGAUGCAACGCGAAGAACCUUACCAGGGUUUGACAUCCUGCGAAUCUCUUGGAAACGAGAGAGUGCCCUUCGGGGAGCUCUUGCACAGGUGCUGCAUGGCUGUCGUCAGCUCGUGUCGUGAGAUGUCGGGUUAAGUCCCUUAACGAGCGCAACCCACGUCUUUAGUUGCCAGCAUUUAGUUGGGCACUCUAGAGAGACCGCCGGUGAUAAACCGGAGGAAGGUGUGGAUGACGUCAAGUCAUCAUGCCCCUUACAUCCUGGGCUACACACGUACUACAAUGCUACGGACAAAGAGCAGCAAGUUCGCGAGGACAAGCAAAUCUCAUAAACCGUGGCUCAGUUCAGAUCGUAGGCUGCAACUCGCCUACGUGAAGGAGGAAUCGCUAGUAAUCGCAGGUC
rnacentral:rRNA from 1 species